CCCAUCCCCAGGGCCCCACACUGGGGGGCUGGAUGUCACAGCCCUGAGGGACCCCAUCCCCAACACCCUGCAUUGGGAGGCUGGAUUCCACAGCCCCGGGGAAACCCCAUUGCUGGGUCCCACAUUGGGACCCUGGAUUCCACAGCCACAGGGGACCCCAUCCCCAGUACCCUGCAUUGGGGCCUGGGUCCCACAGCCUUGGAGGACCCCAUCCCCAGCAUUUUGUGGGGACAUGGUUCUCUAUGCUUGGAAACUCUCCCAAGCCUGCAAAAACUUAUUUACCUACUUAAGAUUAUUCACGAGUAGUCCCAUUGACUUCACUGUGUCUACUCAUGUGAAAAGUUAAAUGUGUGUAAAUCUGAUAUUGGAGCUACCGUCUCUUUAAUUGAAAUCAGGGUCUUUAGGAUGGAAUGUAAUCUGCAGGUGACGUCAAUGAGUCAAGGAAACAAGCUAACCUCUCUCAUUGGUGUCUGUAGAUGUAUUUGCUCUCUGCAGCUUUAUUAUAAGUAGUGGAGUUGCAGAGGUGAUCUGGUUGUGCUGCUGGUAAUACUCACCGUGCUUUAUAGUAGUUGCCUUCCUUCCUUUUGGCAGAGAUGCAGCUUUCUUCAGUUCCCUUUCUAAGGAAGAAGAUGGACUAUCCCAGGGGAGAUCCUCUGUGUCUCAGGCUCUACAGUAGCAAGAGAAAGGAGGGCUAUGCUACCUACAUAUA